UUGAACGCUGGCGGCAUGCCUUACACAUGCAAGUCGCACGGUAACAGGUCUUCGGAUGCUGACGAGUGGCGAACGGGUGAGUAAUACAUCGGAACGUGCCCGAUCGUGGGGGAUAACGAGGCGAAAGCUUUGCUAAUACCGCAUACGAUCUACGGAUGAAAGCGGGGGAUCUUCGGACCUCGCGCGGACGGAGCGGCCGAUGGCAGAUUAGGUAGUUGGUGGGAUAAAAGCUUACCAAGCCGACGAUCUGUAGCUGGUCUGAGAGGAUGAUCAGCCACACUGGGACUGAGACACGGCCCAGACUCCUACGGGAGGCAGCAGUGGGGAAUUUUGGACAAUGGGCGAAAGCCUGAUCCAGCCAUGCCGCGUGCAGGAUGAAGGCCUUCGGGUUGUAAACUGCUUUUGUACGGAACGAAAAGCCUCUUUCUAAUAAAGAGGGGUCAUGACGGUACCGUAAGAAUAAGCACCGGCUAACUACGUG
rnacentral:rRNA from 1 species